rnacentral:rRNA from 1 species
AUGCGGAAGGGGAUCAAUCUGACGGUUGGAAGGCAGUGCAUCGGACGGCCUGGGCUCGACCGGCCCAACUGUUGGGCCGGCGCACCGGCGCAGAUCACUGCCCAUAAAGAAAACCCCAACCCCACAGCCCCGCUCGUCUUUUCUCCCCUAUCCACUCCCGCACUACCGCACUUUCCCCUCCACUACUGCACAUCCCGCCGCGGCCAACCUCCUUUCUCCCGCCGCCGGAAAGCCUGCGGCUCCUUUUUCCCCGCGUCGGAGUGCCCCUGGCCUUCUUUCCUCCCUGCGCCGGCCAUGGCCUCUUUCCUCCCAGGCCCGCUUCCUGACCCUGCGCCACCUCCUCAUUCAGGCAAGCCACUGCCCCUCCCCGGCCGCCUUCCACCUCACUGCCCCAUCCUGAGCUCCUUCCACCUUGCCGACCCCCGGCAACACACUGCCCCGCCGCGGCGAGUCAUCUCCCUCACCCAGGCGCCCCGAGCAACCCCGCCCGGGGCCGUGACGGCCCAAUCUGGUGCCGCUGUGGCCGCGCACGGGAGGUUUAAUGGCGGCACAUCGCCCAUGGUGAACCGGCGCCGGCGUUGGCGGCGUCGUACACAUCGGCCACCACCACGUCAAGCCACCGUGGAGGUUGGGGGAAACCGCCGUUUGUCGGGUGUCGCCGGUUCUACCGCCGCCAGUCCUCACCAGAGGUGCGUCGGGCUCCCCUCCGCCCAAAGAUCCGCCGAACACGACAAAAAGGACCUUCCCCAGCCGCCUAUCUCCUCCUCCUCACCGCGCCGCCGCACCCAAGGUCCUGGUUCACUGGGGCGAUGGAAAGACAGCCACAGCUUCCCGCUCCAGAUCCAAGCACAGGGGGGAAAGGGUGCGAUGCCCACCUGUCCUCCUUGCGGUGAGGACGGAUCUCCUCCACCGCGUCCCUCCCCUCGUCAUCACCGGAGAUCCAGCGCUGCCUCGUCUCUCCUUCCACCAGUGAGGGUUGCGGCGAUGCACUCCUCCCUCUCCCAAAAAAUGGACGACGAUAGGGAACAGCAUGCCCGUGGCAGUGCACCGCGACUGUCGCGUGUAGUGCAGUAG